AACGAACGCUGGCGGCAUGCCUAACACAUGCAAGUCGAACGAAGCCUUCGGGCUUAGUGGCGCACGGGUGCGUAACGCGUGGGAACCUACCAUCAGGUUCGGAAUAACAGUUAGAAAUGACUGCUAAUACCGGAUAAUGUCUUCGGACCAAAGAUUUAUCGCCUUUUGAUGGGCCCGCGUUGCAUUAGCUAGUUGGUGGGGUAAAGGCCUACCAAGGCGACGAUCCAUAGCUGGUCUGAGAGGAUGAUCAGCCACACUGGGACUGAGACACGGCCCAGACUCCUACGGGAGGCAGCAGUGGGGAAUAUUGGACAAUGGGCGAAAGCCUGAUCCAGCAAUGCCGCGUGAGUGAUGAAGGCCUUAGGGUUGUAAAGCUCUUUUACCAGGGAUGAUAAUGACAGUACCUGGAGAAUAAGCUCCGGCUAACUCCGUG
rnacentral:rRNA from 1 species